AAUUACAACAGCCUCUAUGAAAUGGAUAUCAUUUUAAGGAUAUCAUUUGGUAAAAUAUUCAUAAGAAAUUAAUACACCUCUCAAAAAGUUUUAGAAAAUUAUAUUCGACUAUAAUGUAAAUCAUGUUCAUUCAGAUAAAGAUUACAAUGAUGCACACAGUAGUUCUGCCAUGGAUUUUAAAUAAGAAUCAUAGAAUAAAUGAUAUAUCAUAUUCAUAUAUGCAAGAACUGACAAAACAGCAAUUUAAACACAAAGAGAAUGUUACUUACGACAAUCUGUUUCAGUAAAGAUAAUAUUAUUUCUACCAACAAACUUCCUUAGACUCAAGGCUGCGUUAGCCAAAUCGCUGAUAACAUUAUGUGAUAUGAAUAAUAACUUGAGAUAGGAUGCGAAUGGUAAAUACCUUGACAUACACUCUAUUGAUGAGAGGUUUUUAAACUUUUCUCUUCAUCUACUCAACCUGCAGAAACACUCACACAAUCUUUGAAUAUCGUUAGCAUAGACAUGAUAUGCCUUCCGCCAAACCUCAUAAUGCCCUAUAGGAUGAAAAAUUUGACAUUCGAUUCAACAGAAUUUCAAAAUGUGACAUCAGCUUCAAUUCAAUAGAAUUCCAUAGCAACGAUACAAGUCGAUAAUCAAUUAAUUCCAAAUCUUCUUUCAACAUUGCAUCAAUAUCUGAAUCCUUAACUCAAUAAAACACUCCCAGUUCAAAUAGUUCUUCUUACCAUUCAAUUAAUAAGACAGUCUGACAAAUAUUGACCCAAAAACCUUAACUCAGCAAAAGAUUACCAGUUCAAAUAGUUCUUAUUACCCUUCAAUUCAAUGUUUCCUUGGUAAUAAUUGAAACACAAACAAAAUUAGAUUUUCUCCAUAGAAUCUUAACAAGAUCAUUCUACUGAAUUUCGUGUGAAGACAUGAUGUUUCAGCAAAUAAACUUUUUUCAACAACACCAAAUAAAGAGGUCUGAGUCGUAGAAAUAGUGAGCAGCCUACAGGUUGCAUGUGGAUAGACUGCAAAAACAACGAACCAACAUGUCGCAGGCAAAGAACAAGUAGAAACAAACCUUAAACUUGAGACUGACAAACUGAAGGGGUCCCAAUGGAUCCAGGACACGAAAUCGAGCACGGUGCAACAUACACGGUUAAAAACAGACCAAAGAGGGGCGUGCGUGAGUUACAUCCCCCGACGAGUGACGAGAGUGGGGCCGCGUGGAGGUGUUGAAAAUCCUUUUAGAUAAUAGAUUACCUGUAUGGACACAGAUUGAAAUGCACAAUGGCAGUUGAUGAUGUUCACAAAAGACCAACUACUCAUAAAUAGCUCACUAUACCAAUUGUAACAAGGAUUUUAAAUUGAGGAAAUCAAGAUUAUGAAUUAACUUCCGAUGCAGAAUUGAAUAGAAAAUAUUUAACAGACACUAUAUGGUCCACUACUCAGUAAUGUCCUUUGCUACUUAAACUUUUCUCUUUAUUCUACCUAAAUUUGACAAGUAAUAUAUCAUAUUCAAACCAAUGUUCAUUUUACUCACUGCUAAACAUGUCUCGUACUUUCUUUGAUAGAAUUAAGAAACCAAUUCUACAACUGUGUUAAUCACCUGCAAACAACAUUACAGCAGACACUUAGGAGCAUAUAACUAUAUCAUAUUUCUGUGUCUGAUAAAACCCCAACUCUGAGCAUUGUAGCCAAAGUAAUUUUUAGAAUUUGCAAAAGAGAGUAAGAUUAAGAAUACAUCAUAAACUUAGGAUCAUAUAUAUUUAAAGUAGGAUAAAAGGAAAUUCAAACACAUUAUCAUGUUCUCCAAAUAUAAAUUGGAGACAGUUCAAUAAAAGCCAAAAGAUAAUUGGAAGUUUCUAAGAGUUGAAAUAAAAAUAAAACCAGUUAUAAAACAGACACAUAAUAGACUUUCAAUAUAAUAUUCAUAAUGGUUUAUUAAUUUUUCAUACACUUGAUAAUCCUAAUUUUGAUAUGAGGGAUUGACAACUCACUUUUUAUCACUGAAAGUAAAAGUAUCCUAAUAAACACAAUCAUAAAUCUCUUAUCUCUUAUGUGAAAACAAGUAAGCUAACUAAUGAUUUCUUGCUCCAAUCGAAAUGAGACUUUCUUUAUAAAUUAUUAUUUUAGAAUUAUGCGCUCCUUUAACACCGUCGAGUUCCUCAAUCAUUUGGGUACAUAAAUCAAAGCAGAUUGGAUCUCCUCCAUCUUCCUUUGCGAAGAAUAUAUCACCAUUCUUCCCCGCUCCAAUACAAUACUUAAUAUCGUCGGACAAGGGUCCAACAACAAAGAUUUUAGUCCAAGAUUCCUUCACACCCAAUUUGCCUAAAAUUGAUAUGUGAAAAGUAGUUGUAUACGAUAAAAUGGAAGCAAUGGAUCCAUUUAACAACACCAACGCAUGGCGCACCCAACUAUUGGGAUCUAUGUCUAAGGGGAUGAGUGUGGGUAUGAUUGUGGUAAAACAAACCUCAUUGGUCAAGUCAAAUGACACCACAUACUCUUCAUUGUCAUCUCCAUAAUAGUUAGAGAGCCAAUGACACAUUCCAUCCAAGUACAGUAGAUCAUUAUUACAGUUGCCACCUUGCCAACAACAAGCAGGAAGGACGAGAUCAACUUUCCUCCAAGAAUUACAUACUAGGCUAUAUACCUCCCAAAAGGGAACCACAGUUCCCCACAGAAUCUUCCCUUGCACAUUCAUGGCGGGAAGGUGGAAGAGCAAUUGUCAUUCAUAAUCAUAUUGGAACAAAACCUACAUUCCUAAUAUCUUAUAGUCGUCACUAAAAGGGUCAUAACCAAAUCCAUGAAUAAACUUAAUAUAAGCCUGUAAGGUGGGUAGAGACUCGACGGGCUGGAGAAACUUUGAAUUCUUCGUAGCUGGAUUCCACAUACAAUGGCGUCAUCACUAAUCGUAAAGACAUAGAUUCCAUUUACUACACAGAACCAAUACACAAAAUCCAGGGUCCUCUUGUUGAAAUGGAUUUGGAAAGUCCAAUUUAACUUUAUUCUCAAACUCUCACAGAAAGUGAUCCAGAGUGAAACUAACGUAAGUACGAUUGUGAUUGCAAACAAUUUGAUGAAGGAUGAUUGAUGUUCAUAUGUAUAAGAGUGAGGAAUGGAUGUGAAAUUAUAGCGAAACAUGAUCAUAAAAUUAGGGUUUUCAAACAAAACAGACCAUGUUUUGUUUACACAUCCAAAACGCUUCAAAGAUUUUUAAGGAAGUUUUGAUAGAAUGGAGGAAAGCCAGAUCAUCAGGUAUGUAAAUUUCUUACCUUCUCACUUACAGAUUUCGCCAUCUUCGAUCACAGAGCAAAAGAAACAUGAUUGAAACGUCCUCGUUGCAACCCAAAACCUCUUUCGAUCGUCACCAAGGUCAAUUUGACAAUUU
rnacentral:lncRNA from 1 species